rnacentral:rRNA from 1 species
GGGGGGGGCAAGCGUUUGUUCGGAAUUACUGGGCGUAAAGGGCGCGUAGGCGGUCCGAGAAGUUUCGGGUGAAAGCCCCGGGCUCAACCCGGGAAGGUCCCGGAAAACCAUCGGACUUGAGUGCUGGAGAGGCAAGCGGAGUUUCUGGUGUAGCGGUGAAAUGCGUAGAUAUCAGAAGGAACAUCGGAGGCGAAGGCGGCUUGCUGGACAGCAACUGACGCUGAGGCGCGAAAGCCAGGGGAGCGAACGGGAUUAGAUACCCCGGUAGUCCUGGGCCGUAAACGAUGGGUACUUGGUGUUGGCAGCGGGAAGGUUGUCAGUGUCGGCGAUAACUCGUUAAGUACCCCCCCCCGGCCUGGGGAGUACGAUCGCAAGAUUG